GGACCCACCGGCACCUGCUCGGGCCUGUAGGUACCCUCCCUCUCACUGGGAACCCCACUUUCUUAGUGCUGCUCGCACGGCGGCUGGUGUGCGCCCCACAGGCGGCGGGCGCUCUAAAGGCGGAUGACUCACCGCCGAGGUCCGCAGGAACCCGAGCUUGGGGUGCACCUUCCUAACCCUGGGCUAGACGUGAAAGGACCUGUCUAGGCCAUUCCGAUGAAAGUGCGCUGCAAAGUGAACAGAAAGAGGAUUUCGCGUCUGCGAGAGACCGUGCGUGGAAAGGCCGAGCAGGGAGAACAGACCCAACCCAUCCACUGUGCGCACAGCAUCUGGGCCCCAGAGUGGGCAGUUGUCAACUUUAAUGAAAAAUAUUCUCCAGGAAUUUUUAAGUUUUAGAGGGUGCGCCGGAAUAGUCAGCCGCGGAAUUUCAACCAGGAUCCCCAGAGAGAAAUCACUUGAUACCUGAAACUUACAAAAACAGAGUAUCUACAUUCGGGUGGAGGGAUCUAAACUUCUAAAACUGACAUGCCAUCUCUUUUGGUUAUAUAGACUCGAGUUUUCAUUGCACUGAAAAUUCAGAAUCAAAAUCAGAACCAGCUGAGGUAGUUACUCGGGUGCCUUCCUUCAGCUUAUUCAAAAGAAUAUAGGAUGAACGUGGCUCCUGUGGCUCCGUGUGAAGGAGCAGAAAGUUCAGAAGAGGGAAUGGAACAGGGCAACACGGCACCGAGAAAGGAUUUUGGAGGCAGGAGCUGCCGGAGAGGAUUAUCCUCUUUGAGUGGGGCCUCAGUGGAGGGGCAGAGUGACGCGGACUGCGCCCAGAGAAAGCCAUGGGCACCAUGCACACGGGGCACCGUGCUGGUGGACAGAGGGACAGAGCAACCAGGAGAGAAAGAACCUCUCCACGCCGCUGACUAGCAAGGGGAGUAGUGAUCUCCCACCACAUGUCCCCUCCCCCCUCUGCCUCACCUCCAUUGAAAGAGAAGGCCUCCCUACCUCCCAAUCCCAAGUCCCUUGAGCCCUACGUCGGGCGAGGCAAAGCUGGGCGGUGCUUUGAAGAUGUGAACUGAACUUUGUGAGCCAGUCCAGGUAGGCUUGUGUUUUAAUUUUAGAGUCACCAGAAUAUUAUGAGACAUGCUGAAGAUAUUCCUAUGGGAGGUGUCAACCAUUAUUGUCUUUAAGAACCACCAGAAAAACCUUUUGGUCCACCCAAGAGAAGUUC